rnacentral:lncRNA from 1 species
UGUUCCUUUCGAGUCAAAAUCAUACGAAAGGCAACUCGGUGAUAAAGAAGUCUCUCAAACUCACCAUUUCAUCUCCGGAAAACACUUCCAGUUAGUUAACAACGGUUGAUGGUAUUUCACGUUUGAUAACACUUCGACUGCUAAAAACGAUUUUCAGCGAACUGUUGAAGAAGAUGAUGUACCAGCAAGAUUAUUAUGGAUGUUCAUGAACUUGGUCGGCAUUGCUACAAUCGAUUAGGGUAUUGCUUUUGGAACAUUGCAAUCGUCUAAGACCAUUGGGUACGGGGCUCGUCCCCCCGCCCCACCCCUGCUCCGUCUCACCCCCCUGCUCCGUCUCCUCCGUCCAGAUUCCGACGCUGGCGACGACCCACUCUCCCACACACACACCUCUACAUACCGGAUAACGUGGCCUAUCCCACUUGGCGGUGACGUGGCGGAUGGUCCCUUUGGAACCAUACCGGAUGGUCUAAGGUGCGGAAUCUUACUCUACUGUUUGUAUAGUAUGGGGUUCUUGAAAAUUAAUUUAGUAUCUCAAACAUAUAACUGCAUUAAGUUCGUUGGAAAACAGUUUGAAAACGGGGAAGUAAAACUCACAGUGUAUGUCGUAGUUUCACACAGGAUGUAAACAAGCAACUGAGUCAACUUCCAGAAUCACCUAUGCAAAUAUGGGCUUACGUCAGUAUCUAAGUCGGUAACAAGUAUAACUUGGAUUCUGUCAGGAGUUUUCACUGCAGAUUGAGCCUAUACAAUACUGGUAUGGUGAUGGAUGUCAGGGUAGUAUUAGUUUCAGUUUGGCUUCCGGGCACCGGCUCGCGUGUCAGCCAAUGUCAGUAGUUUAACAUGUUCGGACAAUGGUACGGGAAUACCAUUUUAAAAAAGAGCAACCGGCUCUGAUACCACUUGCGAAAUGGUACUGCGGUAAAUUACUACGGUAAAUUGGAUGACAAAUAAAUUACUAUCUGAAACCAUUAAAUCUUGUGCCCAAAAUUUGUCGUACACAAAUUUGUAGUAGACAAAAGUUAAGUACACCAUGUGCUAGUAAAUUGAAUUUAACAAUUUCAUUGCAAAGUUUGUCUACGGC